ensembl:misc_RNA Y_RNA Y RNA
GGCUGGUCCGAGUGCAGUGGUGUUUACAACUAAUUGAUCACAACCAGUUACAGAUUUCUGUGUCCCUUUUCCACUCCCACUGCUUCACUUGACUAGCCUUAA